rnacentral:rRNA from 1 species
CACUGCCGAGAAAAGCCUCUAGCUAGAAUAACGGUGCCCGUACCGCAAACCGACACAGGUAGUCAAGAUGAGAAUUCUAAGGUGAGCGAGCGAACUCUCGUUAAGGAACUCGGCAAAAUGACCCCGUAACUUCGGGAGAAGGGGUGCUCUUUGAGGUUCACGCUUCGAAGAGCCGCAGUGAAUAGGCCCAAGCGACUGUUUAUCAAAAACACAGGUCUCUGCUAAACCGUAAGGUGACGUAUAGGGGCUGACGCCUGCCCGGUGCUGGAAGGUUAAGAGGAGUGGUUAGCGCAAGCGAAGCUACGAAUCGAAGCCCCAGUAAACGGCGGCCGUAACUAUAACGGUCCUAAGGUAGCGAAAUUCCUUGUCGGGUAAGUUCCGACCCGCACGAAAGGCGUAACGAUUUGGGCACUGUCUCAACGAGAGACUCGGUGAAAUCAUAGUACCGGUGAAGAUGCCGGUUACCCGCGACAGGACGGAAAGACCCCGUGGAGCUUUACUGUAGCCUGAUAUUGAAAUUCGGUACAGUUUGUACAGGAUAGGUAGGAGCCUUAGAAGCGUGAGCGCUAGCUUACGUGGAGGCAUUGGUGGGAUACUACCCUAAUUGUAUUGGAUUUCUAACCCGCAGCACUUAUCGUGCUGGGAGACAGUGUCAGGCGGGCAGUUUGACUGGGGCGGUCGCCUCCUAAAGAGUAACGGAGGCGCUCAAAGGUUCCCUCAGAAUGGUUGGAAAUCAUUCAUAGAGUGUAAAGGCAUAAGGGAGCUUGACUGCGAGACCUACAAGUCGAGCAGGGUCGAAAGACGGACUUAGUGAUCCGGUGGUUCCGCAUGGAAGGGCCAUCGCUCAACGGAUAAAAGCUACCCCGGGGAUAACAGGCUUAUCUCCCCCAAGAGUUCACAUCGACGGGGAGGUUUGGCACCUCGAUGUCGGCUCAUCGCAUCCUGGGGCUGUAGUCGGUCCCAAGGGUUGGGCUGUUCGCCCAUUAAAGCGGUACGCGAGCUGGGUUCAGAACGUCGUGAGACAGUUCGGUCCCUAUCCGUCGUGGGCGUAGGAAAUUUGAGAGGAGCUGUCCUUAGUACGAGAGGACCGGGAUGGACAUACCUCUGGUGUACCAGUUGUCGUGCCAACGGCAUAGCUGGGUAGCUAUGUAUGGACGGGAUAAGUGCUGAAAGCAUCUAAGCAUGAAGCCCCCCUCGAGAUGAGAU